rnacentral:ncRNA from 2 species
GUUACGUAUUCCAAAUUUGGCUUCGGAAUGCGUAAUGAAAAGGGAAUCAGGUGAAAAUCCUGAACAGACCCGCUGCUGUAAAGCCUCCCUCAACCCCUCCCAAGGAGGGGAGCAGGAUGCCGCAAAAAUCACCAAUGCCACUGUUCCUCGAAAGGAAUGGGAAGGAUUUGCGGUUCGAAGGAAAAGUCAGAAGACCUGCCACUGUUUCACAACUGUU